rnacentral:rRNA from 1 species
AACGCUGGCGGCGUGCCUAAUACAUGCAAGUCGAGCGGAGCUAGUGUUUCUCGGAAACACGAUGCUUAGCGGCGGACGGGUGAGUAACACGUAGGUAACCUGCCCAUAAGACCGGGAUAACAUCGGAAACGGAUGCUAAUACCGGAUACGCGCUAGAAUCGCAUGAUUCUAGCGGGAAAGGCGGUCUUGAAUUUAUUCAGGGCUGUCACUUAUGGAUGGACCUGCGGCGCAUUAGCUAGUUGGUGAGGUAACGGCUCACCAAGGCGACGAUGCGUAGCCGACCUGAGAGGGUGAUCGGCCACACUGGGACUGAGACACGGCCCAGACUCCUACGGGAGGCAGCAGUAGGGAAUCUUCCGCAAUGGACGAAAGUCUGACGGAGCAACGCCGCGUGAGUGAAUGAAGGUUUUCGGAUCGUAAAGCUCUGUUGCCAGGGAAGAACGCUAGAGAGAGUAACUGCUCUUUAGGUGACGGUACCUGAGAAGAAAGCCCCGGCUAACUACGUGCCAGCCGCCGC